rnacentral:rRNA from 1 species
UGUUCGGAAUCACUGGGCUUAAAGGGCGCGUAGGCGGGUGCUUAAGUCUGUGGUGAGAUCCUCCAGCUUAACUGGAGAACUGCCAUGGAUACUGGGUGUCUCGAGGAACGUAGGGGUAUGCGGAACGAUUGGUGGAGCGGUGAAAUGCGUUGAUAUCAAUCGGAACUCCGGUGGCGAAGGCGGCAUACUGGACGUUAUCUGACGCUGAGGCGCGAAAGCUAGGGGAGCAAACGGG